CUCUCUUCGCGUGCAUCUAUCUCCUCCCGAUUUUCUCCCACUCGCCAUGGCCGCCGUCGCAGUAUCCCCUCCCCAUUAUCUCCCUAUCGCCAUGGUUGCCGUCGCAGUGAAGGCCGGAGGAGGCGAGUUGGCGUUCCACUACGCGGACUGCGGCGGCGCUGCCUUGGUCCCCGAAGACUGGUUUCCGUCUACCCGCGGCGGCCGAGAUCGCCGCGUCGUUGUGGCCCGAUCUCCUCCACGGUGACGGCGUCGCAGGGGGCGGAUACAGGUCGCGUUGUUGUGGAUCGAUCUCCUCCACGGCGACGGCGUCGCAAAAGGCGGAUACGGGUUUGGCGGCGGCCACGAUGAUUAGCUCGUGGAGAUAUUGUGGCGAGCGACCGAGAUAUCGCAGCUAGCAAAAUCCCUACGACCACUUUCCAUGGCGGAGGAGGAGCAGCAUGGGGCCUGGGCGCACGAGAUCCCUCCAACCCAGCUGCCAAGAUCCCUCCGAGACCACGCCGACCUAAUCCGAGACUACAUGGUGCUACUUUAACUUAGAAUACAACUUGACAGUAUUCAGAACAUGGCGGUGGGAUGAUGCUGGCAGGAGGAAAAGAAGGAUGCAAUUUCUGAAGGUUUAUAUUUACUAUUUUGAGGACGACAGGUAUGGAAUUUCGCAAUAGUACUAUGUGUCCUAUACUUAUAGUUAAGUAGCGAUGGUGGCGCAAGGGCGACAUGGUUCUAUCGACGCGGCAGCGGGGGCCGAGGAGACACAGUGCAUCCCGCACGUUUGCUUGUUGGCUGGUCUCCUAAAUACCUGCACACUACAUCUACACUAAGUCACUGAUGGUUCUUGUUUAAAAUCGUGGUCUUGAAUUCUUGAUAUGAUUACAUGUAAGCUGGGGGUAAGUAGGCAAUUAUUUCAUGUUUAAUCUUGUCACUUGGUCGGUCCAUGGAAAAUGAAAACUCCUAUAAGAAAUUAGUAAUAUAUUGUGCAGUAAAACUUCUCGGGCGCCUUUAAGCAUGAUUUAAGUGUCUACAAGAUUUAGCUUAACCAACAAUAUUUGACAAUGCUUUGAGAGAUAGUUACGUGAUGAUAGAAAUAACAACUUUUGUAACAAAUAGUUAAAUAUGAUUUGGAAUUCUUUAUUGAAAAUUUAGUAUUUUAUUUACUGAAUUUUGUUUCAGUUCAUGUUUAUCCUUUUCUAAAAAAGUUGUUUGCAUCAGAUUACUUUUUGUUGUUCGCCAUCAGACUAAUUGAGUCAGAAAAUAUAAUGCGGAGAUGGGAGGAGAAGAGAGCAAAGGAAAUUGGUAUGUGCUGUCUACCUUUAAUGGUUAGCGAAGCAAGAAUGCUAGGCACCGCAUGCUGCAGCCAAGGAUCAUGAUACUUACCUGACAAGUACUAGGUAGUAAUACACUGGAAUUGUAUGGAACUAUCUUUUGUCUUUAACCACUAAAGCAUAUAUAGAAAUAUACAUUGGGAUGUCGUGAUUUCAAAAGUUGAAAUAAAAAUGUCUAUUAUGAAGACCAUAAAGAUAAAAAAAACUUUUAAUU